UUUUCAAGUUUUGUAAAUAAGAGAGGCUAGUGUAAUUAUUUGUAUUAUAACGGCCUUUUGAUUUCAUAGAACUGUGAAAGUACUUUGGUCAUAAACGUAACCGUGAUG
rnacentral:rRNA from 1 species